AGUGAACGCUGGCGGUAGGCCUAACACAUGCAAGUCGAACGGUAGCACAGUAAGAGCUUGCUCUUACGGGUGGCGAGUGGCGGACGGGUGAGGAAUACAUCGGAAUCUACUUUUUCGUGGGGGGUAACGUAGGGAAACUUACGCUAAUACCGCAUACGACCUACGGGUGAAAGCAGGGGAUCUUCGGACCUUGCGCGAUUGAAUGAGCCGAUGUCGGAUUAGCUAGUUGGCGGGGUAAAGGCCCACCAAGGCGACGAUCCGUAGCUGGUCUGAGAGGAUGAUCAGCCACACUGGAACUGAGACACGAUCCAGACUCCUACGGGAGGCAGCAGUGGGGAAUAUUGGACAAUGGGCGCAAGCCUGAUCCAGCCAUACCGCGUGGGUGAAGAAGGCCUUCGGGUUGUAAAGCCCUUUUGUUGGGAAAGAAAAGCAGCAGGUUAAUACCCCGCUGUUCUGACGGUACCCAAAGAAUAAGCACCGGCUAACUUCGUG
rnacentral:rRNA from 1 species